AUAGUACUCCCUCCGUCCGGAAAUACUUGUCAUCAAAAUGGAUAAAAGGGGAUGUAUCUAGAUGUAUUUUAGUUCUAGAUACAUCUCUUUUUAUUCAUUUUGAUGACAAAUAUUUUCGGACGGAGGGAGUAUGUA
rnacentral:pre_miRNA from 1 species